UGUAUUUUGUUUGUGACCAUGUUUUUUUUUGUUUGUAAAAUCGAAUUUAUCAUCUUUCUAUUUAUUCCAUUUCAUAUUUUUAUGUCAGAAUUUGAUUUACUUUGAUGUAGUCGUGUAGCAUAUAGAAUAUUAAUAAGGUUUACACGACCUUCUGUUUCUAUUUUUCUCAAAAAAAUCUUUUCCCCUGACAAACGGAAAUUAUACGUUUGAAUUUCAAAUAUGUAUUUUGCUGUUUGAUGUUUAUCUUCUACGCUAUUGAAUAAUCUGAGAUAGAACAAGAUAUUAGAUACUUUACUUUACAAUUUACUUGCUUUCAAAAUACGAACCUACUUAAACUCAAGUUCAUUAGAACCUCUUCGAUUUUAUUAGCAAUAUCCUCUAUACUCUAUUCCAAUUACGAAGUCUCAUGAGACAGAUGUUAUUAUUAUGUUAAUGUGUGUGUGAAUUAAUUGUGUAAUGAUUUAGAUUGAUUGUGUAUUUUUUAAAAGAUGUUUACGGCCAUGAACAAAAAAUGAUUGCUAUUUAAAAUUUUGCGAAAUGUGAAGAGUUACGUUCUAAGAAAUGUCACAAGGGACUUCGUAAUUGGAAUAGUGUAUAGUGCACAUAAACAUAUAAUAAAAGAGAAGUUUCUUCAAUCUCUGAAUAUUUGACACAUCGUAACCACUACAAAUAGAAGUGAAAGAAGAUUUUGUUUUCGACAUCUUAUUCUUAAAGUAAAUAAAUACUGCUCGAAUUAUUCGCAAUGUCGUGAAGUAAAUUAUGUCGAAAUGUAAAUUGUGAGUGAAGCUUGUUCAUCGUGUUCGAAAAUUUUGUUACUCUGUAAUUGUUUUACAACUACGUGUAAUCCGAGAGACGAUUAGAUCAGACGAUGUGAUGUGUGAGCGAAAUAAUUAUACAUUCCGCGGAAUGUGACGUGUCUCGAAGGAAUCCCAUUACGUGAUUUCAGAUUUCAUACGAUUGACAUUUAUACUCCGUCUAGUAAUUUGAAGUGCAUACAAGUUUCCGAGCUAUUAGCAUCAACGUACAGUAGAAGGCGUAUUAAUUGUUUUAAUAACUAAUAAGUUUUAUUUUAUUCAGUUAAUCGAUGACAAUAGAAGCUAGGCCCGUUAUUAUAGUAAUAUAAAAUAUUACUUAAUAUAGUUCGGAUUCAGCUGGAUUAAGUGGUUUCUCAAGUAGUAUUUUAUGUAAAUAUUUGAUACGGCAACGUUUGUAAACUACUCUCAAUAGGCUCGUAACGGAAUAGGAGUUUCCUCGCGAACAAGAAAAUAUUAAAACGAUUACAUAUUCAGAACGUUUACUCAUAGAUUAUGAAAAAAUGACUGCGGAUGUCUUAUUAAAAUUCCAGGCCAUAACUCGACAAGAUUGAAGUUCUCAAGUU